UACGUAGGGUGCGAGCGUUGUCCGGAAUUAUUGGGCGUAAAGAGCUCGUAGGCGGCUUGUCGCGUCGGAUGUGAAAGUCCGGGGCUCAACCCCGGGAGGCGGGCGGAUACUGUCGGGCUAGAGUCCGGAAGAGGCGAGUGGAAUUCCUGGUGUAGCGGUGAAAUGCGCAGAUAUCAGGAGGAACACCAAUGGCGAAGGCAGCUCGCUGGGACGGUACUGACGCUGAGGCGCGAAAGCGUGGGGAGCAAACAGG
rnacentral:rRNA from 1 species